GUCCCUUCCAGUUCCAUUCCUGUUGCUGCAAAUGGGCCUCUUUGGAAAUACUGGAGAACUUUUACCCAUGACAGAAAACAUAUCUGUUCUGCUUCCUACUCCCUUGAAUGAGGGCAGGAGAUCAGGCAAAAUUGAAUUUUGUGAACUUUCAAAAUUAAAAACCUUUUCCUGGAUUCUGAAGACCCCACUAAAGUGUCAUCAAGGGAGGAGGCCUAGUCCACCUGCUUCUUCUGAUGUCCCUCUUCCUCUGUAUUAUUAGUAUACUACUACUAAUAAUAAUCCAGAGUCUGUAGUAUUAGUAUCCUACAGUAUCCAUGAAAUGGAGCUAAUGUC